GCGAGAAACCUUUGCAAUGUGCGCAAGCACGACAAGGUUAAUCCGAGUGUUUCCUGCUAAAGGAAUCUUUUGUUAGUUCUAAAACCACUGAUGAAUAAGAGGUGGGCAAGUUCUGGUGUCAGCCGCCGCGGUAAAACCAGCACCUCAAGUGGUCAGGAGGAUUAUUGGGCCUAAAGCAUCCGUAGCCGGUUCUGUAAGUUUUCGGUUAAAUCCACCAGCUUAACUAAUGGGCUGCCGAAAAUACUGCAGAACUAGGGAGUGGGAGAGGUAGACGGUACUCGGUAGGAAGGGGUAAAAUCCUUUGAUCUAUUGAUGACCACCUGUGGCGAAGGCGGUCUACCAGAACACGUUCGACGGUGAGGGAUGAAAGCUGGGGGAGCAAACCGGAUUAGAUACCCGGGUAGUCCCUGAGCGGGCUGGCAAGGCGCAU
rnacentral:rRNA from 1 species